rnacentral:rRNA from 1 species
AUUGAACGCUGGCGGCAUGCCUUACACAUGCAAGUCGAACGGCAGCACGGGUGCUUGCACCUGGUGGCGAGUGGCGAACGGGUGAGUAAUACAUCGGAACGUACCUUAUCGUGGGGGAUAACGCAGCGAAAGCUGUGCUAAUACCGCAUACGCCCUGAGGGGGAAAGCGGGGGAUCGCAAGACCUCGCGCGAUUAGAGCGGCCGAUGCCUGAUUAGCUUGUUGGUGGGGUAAAAGCCCACCAAGGCGACGAUCAGUAGCUGGUCUGAGAGGACGAUCAGCCACACUGGGACUGGGACACGGCCCAGACUCCUACGGGAGGCAGCAGUGGGGAAUUUUGGACAAUGGGGGCAACCCUGAUCCAGCAAUGCCGCGUGAGUGAAGAAGGCCUUCGGGUUGUAAAGCUCUUUUGUCAGGGAAGAAACACCGGCUCUAACACAGUCCGGGAAUGACGGUACCUGAAGAAUAAGCACCGGCUAACUACGUGCCAGCAGCAGCCGUAA